UACAGAGGUCUCAAGCGUUGUUCGGAUUCAUUGGGCGUAAAGGGUGUGUAGGUGGCGCGCUAAGUCGGGUGUGAAAAUUUCGGAGCUUAACUCCGAAACUGCAUUCGAUACUGGCGUGCUCGAGGACUGGAGAGGAGACUGGAAUUCAUGGUGUAGCAGUGAAAUGCGUAGAGAUCAUGAGGAAGACCAGUGGCGAAGGCGGGUCUCUGGACAGUUCCUGACACUGAGACACGAAGGCCAGGGGAGCAAACGGG
rnacentral:rRNA from 1 species